rnacentral:rRNA from 1 species
UUCCAGACUCCUACGGGAGGCAGCAGUGAGGAAUAUUGGUCAAUGGUCGGGAGACUGAACCAGCCAAGCCGCGUGAGGGAUGAAGGUACAGAGUAUCGUAAACCUCUUUUGUCAGGGAACAAAGGCGGGGACGCGUCCCCGGAUGAGUGUACCUGAAGAAAAAGCAUCGGCUAACUCCGUGCCAGCAGCCGCGGUAAUACGGAGGAUGCGAGCGUUAUCCGGAUUUAUUGGGUUUAAAGGGUGCGCAGGCGGUCUGUUAAGUCGGGGGUAAAAGCCCGGGGCUCAACCUCGCUCCGCCGUUGAAACUGGCGUUCUUGAGUGGGCGAGAAGUAUGCGGAAUGCGUGGUGUAGCGGUGAAAUGCAUAGAUAUCACGCAGAACUCCGAUUGCGAAGGCAGCAUACCGGCGCCCAACUGACGCUGAAGCACGAAAGCGUGGGUAUCGAACAGGAUUAGAUACCCUCGUA